rnacentral:sRNA from 1 species
UGUUAAAAAGAGAGAUUCUGGCAUUCUUCAUAAAACUAAAAAUAAGAUAAAAAGAAAAUAGUCAUUAUAUCAUGACUGCACCCCUUGACUCUGAAAUGUGACUGCAGUGAAUCAAGGUCCAGCUAAUUUCAUGAAACAUCCAUUUGAUCAUUGUCAUUGUCAGCUUCAUAAUAUUCAUCAUCGCGCUGGAUGUGCUUGUCUUGAGUGUGCUCUGAAAAGAGAAUUGUCAUAUCCAUAAACCAAGAUUUGGCACAGGUAAAGAGAGGAAGGGAAAUGCCGCUUUUUUACUUAAUCACACUUUUAAAGUCUAAAUUCAAUUUUAAUAAUUACGGAUAUUUAGUCAUUAUGAUUUUUUAAUUAAGUUAUUUGUCCCAAAAGUUUAUCCACACUGAUUAAUAUAAUAAAUAAAUAAAUAACAAUGGAAUUUUGACGCAUAAUAAAAAAGUGAUAUGUGACAAUAUAUACAAGUUGUAUACAAAAUCAAAUUACUCCUAGAGUAAUUUUAGAGUUACUAUUACGGUAUAAGGUAGGGGUAAUAAUAAGGUUUGGAAAGGAUAUGAGAAAGAGAAGGAAGGUAGGAGGGAAAUGAGACCGAACGGUAUUGACCGUAAAGGCCAAACAGUAGCCGAACGGUAUUGACCGUAAAGGUCGAACGGUAGCCGAACAGUGGAAGGCGUGGAGAAGUCUAGCGAAACAGUGGAAGGUGGUGAAGAACUGGAGCCGAAUGGUAAGAGGCAAGUGGAAGCAAGCCAAACAGAGGAAGGCGAGGAGCGACCAGGCCGAACGGAGGAAGGCGAGGAGCGACCAG